rnacentral:lncRNA from 1 species
ACUGCAACAGGGGAUCAAAGAAUGAUCUUGGGGAGGAGGAUGAGGAGGAGAGGUGGGGGUUGGUGGUGGUGUUGAUCUUCUUGUUGUUUGCAGAAAAGAAUGGGGAAGUAAAAAAAAUACAAAGAGGGCGGCGGAAGAAGAAGAAGAAGAAGAAGAAGAAGAAGAAGACAAAGGUCCGGGACACUUCGUGGCUCCCGGCGAAGUCCCGAUGCGAUUUUCGGGAUUCCCGACGAGUUAUGGUAAAUGGUUUUGGAAAAUCGAUCGCCGUGGGUUUAUUUGUGGGGUUGUGGAUUUAGUGUUUCUUAUAUGUGGGUUAGAUACUAACCUGGUGG